AUCCAGAUGACGAGUUUCAAAUAGGACGAAACUCGCGUCUUGGAU
rnacentral:hammerhead_ribozyme from 1 species